UCGCCCAGAUCCACUCUCCUCUCGCUCCCUCUGCCUUCGCUGCCCGCACGACCAUGGUCGUCCCCCCCACUGAAGCCCGCGGCCACCGACCGCCCCGUGCCGCACCGGCGAGUCAAGGAGCUCCUCCAUGUCCCGCUACAUCGUCUACGAGGCCGGAUCGGUCCAGAUCGUGCCUGCAUCGGUCGCCACCGCUACCCCGCCGUGGAUCCGGCCACCGCUAGCCGUUCCAAGACUUCCAGGAGGACCGCAGGGCUCGUCGCCGUCGCCUACAGCACCGGAUCGACGUCGCGGAACCCCUGCAGCGCCACCAUCGUCUUGUUCCCCUCCGCCUCGGCCGUCGUCGAUCCUCGGCGAACACCACCGCUCCGGUCCUUCCCGCGUCCACGCGAGCUCGCCGUCGUCUCCCCCGAUGUGAGCCUCCCCUUCGACCCCCUGUGUUGUUCCCUCUCGUUACAGUCACCGUAGCCGUUGCCGUAUCCUCCCAUGGCCGCGCCUGGAGCUCUGCUCCCGCGUGCGCCCAUGCGAGCCCCUUGUCGUCCCUGGCCUUGCCCGCGUGCUGCUACCGCCGCUGCGCUCGCCAAGCCCCCUGGCCGCGACCGGCCGGGCGCCGCCUGUUCCUUGGCCGCGCCCCGCUCGUGCACGCGCACCCGCGUGUUUGCCCCCGCUGCUCCCCGCUCGCGCGCGCCCGUAGCCUCUCCCCUGCCUUGCUACUGCUCGCCGUCGCGACUCCUUUGCUGCUUGCUGCUCCGCCCGCACCGCAUCGCAUCGCUGCACUCUGCUGCUGCUCUGCUACAGUAACAUUCAGUUACUGUAGCAGUGGCUAGCUUCGGUGCUACUACACCAUUUAGCUCCCUGGACAGUCCCUAAACAACAGAUAGUCAAGUGCUAAUAUAGGUAAAAAAUAAUUUUUGAAGGGAGUACACAUGACAAACUCCAUUUUAUCCCACGGGGUCAAAUCCUUUUGAUGAAUAAAUUAAAUCCUACAAAAAUCAUAAAAUGACAUCUUACGUUAAUAACUCCUAGCCUACUAACUUGUGUGUGCUGUGUGUGUGCGCCGUGCAUGUGGCCGGAGUAGUGGCCGGCCCUUGCUUAAAUUAGUACUACUAGGUAUUAAUUAGUGUAGAUUAGUCUAUGUGUAGAUGACAUGUGGGUCCUAUUCAAUUAGGUUAGUUUUUUGUACUCAUUUAGGUACAGCCUAUGACAUAAGGGCCACCCCCUCCUUUUUGACCAGUCAACUUUGACUUGGUCAGCCCGUUUUAAAACAUUUCCAAAAAUAUUAGAAUACGUCUAAAACAUUUGAAAAUUCUUAGAAAUUAAACCGUAAGUCAGAUGAAAAUGUUAUGUACACGAAAGUUGCUCAGAAUGAUGAGACGAAUCCGGAUACGCAGCCUGUUCGUCCGCCACGCAUACCUAACCUAUCGAACUCGCAACUUUCCCCAUCCGGCUCCUUUGCCCGAAAACGCGAAACACCGGGGAUACUUUCCCGGAUGUUUCCCCCCUUCGCCGGUAUCACCUAUCCCUACGUUAGGUCACCUCUAGCACAACGUAUUACCGCUUCUUGCUUUUUGUUACAUUUGAUUGCUCUGUUAUGUAUUGUGUUCCCCCUCCGUUACUUCUUUCCGGUAGACCCUGAGACCGAUGCCGGUACCUCUGUGAUUGACUACAUCGACGACCUCUCCUUCUUGCCAGAGCAACCAGGCAAGCCCCCCCUUUGAUCACCAGAUAUCGCCUAUUCUCCUCUAUACUGCUUGCAUUAGAGUAGUGUAGCAUGUUACUGCUUUCCGUUGAUCCUAUUCUGAUGCAUAGCCUGACAUUGUUGCUACAUCUAUUGAUACCUUACCUGCAAUCCUAAAUGCUUAGUAUAGGAUGCUAGUUUAUCAUCAUUGGCCCUACAUUUUGUCAGUCUGCCUUGCUAUACUAUCGGGCCAUGAUCACUUGGGAGGUGAUCACGGGUUUAUACUAUACAUACAUACAUACUAUACAGAUGGUGACUAAAGUCGGGUCAGCUCGAAGAGUACCUGCGAGUGAUUCACGGAUUGGGGGCUGAAAGGACCUUUGUCCCGACGGCCCUCUGUGUGGAUCUUUGUGGCGGAGCGACAGGGCAGAUUGAGACCGCCUAGCUGAGAGGUGGGCCUGGCCCUGGUCGGCGUCCGCGGUUGCUUCAUAAUAACAUGCUUAACGAGAUCUUGGUAUUUGAUCUGAGUCUGGCCAUUUGGUCUAUACGCACUAACCAUCUACGCGGGAGUAGUUAUGGGUAUCCCGACGUCGUGGUAUCAGCCAAAGCCUUCGUGAUGUCAGCGACUGAGUGGCGCGCGCCGGAUUGGACUGGAACGCCACUAGGCUAGGUCUGCUUCCGGUCGCGUACGCAACGUGCAGGUGUGCAAAGGGCGAUGGGCCCAGACCCCUGCGCCAUAGGAGUUAGACCAGCGUGCUGACCUCUCUAUUGUGCUAGGUGGGGCUGCGACGUGUUGAUCUUCCGAGGCCGGGCAUGACCCAGGAAAGUGUGUCCGGCCAAAUGGGAUCGAGCGUGUUGGGUUAUGUGGUGCACCUCUGCAGGGAAGUUUAUCUAUUCGAAUAGCCGUGUCCCUCGGUAAAAGGACGACCCGGAGUUGUACCAUGACCUUAUGACAACUAGAACCGGAUACUUAAUAAAACACACCCUUCCAAGUUCCACAGACAACUCGGUGAUCGCUUUUCCACAGGGCGACGAGGGGAGGAUCGCCGGGUAGGAUUAUGCUAUGCGAUGCUACUGGAGAUGCUACUUAGAGAUGCUACUUGGAGAUGCUACUUGGCGAUGCUACUUGGAGGACUUCAGUCUACUCUCUUCUACGUGCUGCAAGACGGAGGCUGCCAGAAGUGUAGUCUUCGACAGGAUUAGUUAUCCCCCUCUUAUUCUGGCAUUCUGCAGUUCAGUCCACUGAUAUGGCCCUUUACACAUAUACCCAUGCAUAUGUAGUGUAGCUCCUUGCUUGCGAGUACUUUGGAUGAGUAAUCACGGUUGCUUUCUUCCCCCUUUUCCCCUCUUUCCUUGCUUUCUGGUUGUCGCAACCAGAUGCUGGAGUCCAGGAGCCAGACGCCACCGUUGACGACGACUCCUACUAC
rnacentral:lncRNA from 1 species